rnacentral:misc_RNA from 1 species
GAUGAAGAACGCAGCGAAAUGCGAUAAGUAAUGCGAAUUGCAGAAUUCAGUGAGUCAUCGAAUCUUUGAACGCACAUUGCGCCCUGUGGUAUUCCGCAGGGCAUGCCUGUUCGAGCGUCAUUUCAACCCUCAAGCCCCGCUUGGUGUUGGGCCCCGCCCGCUGUGGCCGGCCCUAAAGACAGUGGCGGCGCCGCCUGGCCCUCAGCGUAGUACAUCUCUCGCUCCAGGGUCCGGUGGCCGCCUGCCAGAACCCCCCAACUCUGUGGUUGACCUCGGAUCAGGUAGGGAUACCCGCUGAACUUAAGCAUAUCAAUAAGCGGAGG